rnacentral:sRNA from 1 species
CCCGGGCGCGCCGUAGCCGCGGGGCCCGGGCCGGGCGCUACGCUACGAAGGCAGCGUAAGGCGGGCGCCGGACGCGGGCAGGGGCCGGGGCCGGAGCCGGGUCGGGGCGCCCCGCGGCUGAGGAGCGGGAGGCCGUCCGGGCAGCGCGGCCGGCGGCGAGAGGGGCCCCGCCGCUCUCCGGAGGCAGAAGUUGUGGAUCGGCCGGCGGGGGCGAGCGGGCCGGGGCCGGGCCGCGCUGCCCGGGCCGCGAGGACGAGGCGGCGCCGCCGGGCUGUGGAGGCAGCAGCCCAGACGCGGCACAGAGAGGGCCUGGGAGCUUGCUGCAGCUUCAGACGGAGCCAGGAUAGGAACCACGGACUGACCUGACCUGCGUCCUCGGGGCCACUGCACUGGGUGAUUCACGUGUGCCCAGGCCCUGAGGUGGGCCGGACCUGGGAGUGGCAGGCUCCUCUCUUCUCUUCCGAGCACCCACGGGAGGGGACUGUGCUGUCCCUGCUCUCCUAGGACAGGCCUCCCUCCUGUCCAGAUGGGGCCCACAGGGUCAGUUGCCUGAGACUGGCUCCAGCUCAAGAAAGGUUUUCUGAGUGAGCGCAGGGGAGCAGGAGGCUGGUGAGCAGCUCGCUUCCUGCCCUGGGUGCAGCUGGGCACCACUUCUGCCUUGGGCCUGCUAAAGGCAUCAGUGAGGAGCAGGCGGGGCCUGGUAGGAGCCUGUGUUUCUAGCAGCACGUGUGACCCCAGGUGCCACGUGGGUGAGUGCGUGGGUGGGUGAGUGGUGAAGGAGCUGAGGUUGGCCCCGGCAGGUGUGCAGUCCUCACACAGAACGGGCAGGGCUCCUGUCAGAGCCAAACCAGCUCAGGGCCCGGUGCAAGCAGCUUUUGUCCCGUGGCACCUCCGCUAGUCGCCGCUCCCACCCAAGCCCUGCCCUGCCCCGCCCUGCCCCGCUCAGGGUUUGGCUACAGAAGGGGAGUGUCGGAAAUGCCCAACCCGUCUCCCGUGACGGACUCCUGCGUGGCCUGGGCUGGGGAACGCAGGGGCCGUUUGGGUGCUUCCGGCAUCUGGCGUAGCCACGCGAGAGGCCCUGGGUUGAUGCGUGGGCUCCCUGCUAGCGAGCCUGCUCCGUGCGUGCUGGGCUCCCGGCCUUGCUUCCGUGUGGCAUUCGAGGCCCCGUGGACCUCGCCUGCGUCCUGCAUGUUUGAGCGCUGCCCCUCGUGGAGGCCGCCAGCACUGGUGGCUGCAGGGCCUGUAGUGUGGCACGUCCAGAGACCCGGCCUGGAGAACGGGUCCUGGAUGUCUCCGUCAUGUUUUACGUUCGCUUCACACGGACGCAGCGAUGUCUCAGAUACCUCGGAUCACACAGAGCACGUCGCCAAGGCUUGUUUUGUCUGUUCCUUUCCACCUGUCUUACGUGGCUACCAGGAGAUCCGCCACGACUCCCGUGGCCCCCGUCCACACUGCGCGGUGCUCUCCGGCGUGGCCGCCAGGUGCCCCUUCGAGAGCAGGUGUGAGUACAGGGUGGUCCCUGUGGAGAAGCACCUGCAGGCGAGUGAGCCAGGCUGUACCCUGCAGACCCCGAGGCCUGAAUUUCAUGGAACUCUCACCUCUCACAGAGUAUUGUUUUUCUUUUGAUUUUUUUCCAACCAUUUAAAAAUUUACAAGCCAUUGUUGACUUGCGGGCUGGACCAGGCUUAGGGCUGGGCUCUGGUCCGCACCCCACACUGGCCCCGUGUGUCCUGUGACCGUUCUGCCUACGGGGCAGGCCUGAGCCACCACAGGAUGGCAGGGUCUCCAGGGUGCAGGGCCCGCAAUGCUUCAACCCUCCCACGACCCCAGCACCUUCAGAGAAAACGGACCCUCGUGCCGAGUGAAGUGGUUCAGGCGAACGUUAUCACCACACGGGGGACUCGGCGGCUUCUGCCCCAGGCCUCAAAGGAGAGGGGAUCCAGAAUUCUCUGUCUCACCCCCUCAGCCCCUGCCCUUGAAGCUUCUGUCCCCAAGGCUGUGGGGAGGAACCAGGGAAGGGCUGGCGCGUCUGCUGUGCAAUCCCAGGUGCUCGUGCCUCGCUGAGCUCAGCCCCUGCGGCCUCAGAGCUGCAGGCCCCUCCCGGGUGUCAGAGCACUGACUGGAAAGGCCCCCCACAUCCCUGCCCUCUGCUGCUCCCCAUCGUCGUGGGGGAGAAGUGGAACUGCACCCCCACCCCCCCAGCCUGCUCACCUAGGGCUGCCCCCAGGCCUCCCUGAGCUCCAAAGAAUAUGUUCUUUGGUGCUUCUUUUUUUUUGGCUCUGUCUCCCAGGCUGGAAUGCAGCUGUGGUGCUCACGCCAGCCUCCCACGUCAGCCUCCUGAGUAGCUAGGUCUACAGGUGCACACCACCACACCCGGAUAGUGUUUAGUCUUCUAUAAAGACAGGGUCUCACUGUGUUGCCCAGGCUGGUCUCGAACUCUUGGGCUCAGGUGAUCCCCCACGCACGGCAGCUUUGACACUUACUUGACCCUUUCCUCCUAAGCUCUACCCUGACGCUGGCUGUGUGUCCCAGAGACUUCAUCAGAAGCUGGAAGAAGGGCUGUGACGUGUGUGACAGCAGGAACUGCUGGUCAACCCACAGCCGGCCAGCCUGCGGGGACGCCACCUUGGCCCGAUCUUGGCGGGGAGAGGGGAGUGUAUCGGACUCUGGGGAGAGCAGCUGCCUGCACGGGCAGGGUCCUCCCGUCUCAGGAUUAACGUUCUCAACUGUAUUUGAUUUCUCCUCAGCCAGAGGGGGUAAGGUGGCCUUCCCAGAGGCACAGGUGGGCCGCGUGUCAGAGGCUCUGGACAGCCUGUGCCUCUCCCGGGCCUCCCAGCAGGGGUGGCUCUCGCCUCUCUGGAGGGGAGACCCCAGGAACCGGCCCCCGCCCUCAGCCACAGCCUCACAGGGUCCUUGUUUCUCGGGGCCUGGCUCUGUGGGUGCACACGGCACAGUCGGGCUCCUGUCCUUCUGGAAGGCUCCAGAGUGGCAUGUGGGCAGCUGCGUGACGCGGCCCCCCAGAUCUCCAUCCAGCCUGGCCUGCAGCAGCUCCCUACGCCCUCUGCUACCUCCCCUGCCUACCUUUGGGUAGACGUUCUCUUGACCCUUCCUUCUGUGAUAAAGCAAAAGCGUGUGAUCUCUUUUCUCACCAAGGAAUAAAACGUCUCUGAAUA